rnacentral:rRNA from 1 species
GCGGAGCUGCGCGCAGCCUGAUCAGCCAUGCCGCGUGAGUGAAGAAGGCCUUCGGGUUGUAAAGCUCUUUCAGUCGGAAAGAAAAAAUCCCGAUUAAUACUUGCGAUUCAUGACGGUACCGACAGAAAAAGCACCGGCUAACUACGUGCCAGCAGCCGCGGUAAUAA